rnacentral:rRNA from 1 species
AGUCACUGACUAUUAGACUACCCCGUAGUCCCACGGACCGUAAACAUGUGCGUUAGGUGUGUCGGUAACCACGCGUUACUGAUGCGCCGAAGAGAAAUCGUGAAACGCACCACCUGGGAAGUACGGUCGCAGGGCUGAAACUUAAAGGAAUUGGCGGGGGAGCACCGCAACAGGUGGAGCCUGCGGUUUAAUUGGAUUCAACGCCGGACAUCUCACCGGAUAAGACAGCUGAAUGAUUGUCAAUCUGAAGGUUUUACAUGACUAGCUG